AAGGGUACAGUAUCAGGGGCAGUGUCGGGGAGAACACAAGGUUUCACAAAUGGUAUGGUAUAAGGGGCAGUGUCGGGGAGAACACUUCAUGUGACAUGGUGUCCAGUGUGAAGGAGGAUGUCAGCAGACUUCAAAUCACGAACGUGACAUUGGAUCUCCAAGGACUGGA